rnacentral:misc_RNA from 1 species
CAUGGCCGGGCGCAGUGGCUCACGCCUGUAAUCCCAGCACAUUGGGAGGCUGAGGCGAGCGAAUCACGAGGUCAGGAGAUCAAGACCAUCCUGGCUAACACGGUGAAACCCCGUCUCUACU